GACCGUUUCACUACCGAAGGGCUGUAUUUAUUGGAUACCAAAACCAUCCUUCCCUCGGGAAGUUUUGUUUGAUGAUUCACAAUAACUGAUCGGAUCGCCACUGUGGUGGCGACAGGUCAUUCAACAUUCUGCCCUAUCAGCUUUCGAUGGUUGUGUAGUGGACAACCAUGGCCAUAACGGGUAACGGAGAAUCAGGGUUCGAUUCCGGAGAAGGAGCUUGAGAAUUGGCUACUACAUCUAAGGAAGGCAGCAGGCGCGCAAAUUACCCAAUCCCGAUUCGGGGAGGUAGUGACAAAAAAUAACAAUACCGGGCCUUUUUGGGCUUGGUAAUUGGAAUGAGGGAGAGUUAAACGGACCAUCGAGUAUCCAUUGGAGGGCAAGUCUGGUCCAGCAGCUGCGGUAAUACCAGCUCCAAUAGCGUAUAUUAAAGUUGUUGCAGUUAAAAAGCUCGUAGUUGGACUUGUGUGCGCUGUCCGCGGGUGGCCUGCGCCCAAAAGGGCGUUUCGGUUCGGCCCCGGUGGCGCCUUGAAAUCUGCAGCUGGGGGGACGUUGGCCUUAACUGGUCGGCGACCGCACGCCGGCUGCUCGGUUACUGUGAGAAAAUUAGAGUGUUCAAGGCAGGCAUUGGGUGCAAUUGAAUACAUUAGCAUGGAAUAAUAAAAUAUGGCUCCUGCCGUAUUUUGUUGGUUUUGACUGGUGGGAGUAAUGAUUGAUAGGGACGGUUGGGGGUGCUAGUAUUGAGCGGCCAGAGGUGAAAUUCAUGGAUUCGCUCAAGACUAACUUAUGCGAAAGCAUUCACCAAGGACGUCCUCUUUAAUCAAGAACGAAAGUUGGGGGAUCGAAGACGAUCAGAUACCGUCGUAGUCUCAACCAUAAACUAUGUCGACUUGGGGUCGGCGGUAGUUUUUUCAUUAAGACACUGUCGGGACCACGGGAGAAAUCAAAGUGUCUGGACUCUGGGGGAAGUAUGGUCGCAAGGCUGAAACUUGAAGGAAUUGACGGAAGGGCACCACCAGGAGUGGAGCCUCCGGCUUAAUUUGACCCAACACGGGGAAACUUACCAGGUCAGAGAUGUAGAGGAUUGACAGAUUGAAGCUCUUUCUUGAUCACCUCGGUGGUGGUGCAUGGCCGUUCUUAGUUGGUGGAGUGAUUUGUCUGUUA
rnacentral:rRNA from 1 species